UAAGGAAUAUUGGUCAAUGGAGGCAACUCUGAACCAGCCAUGCCGCGUGCAGGAAGACGGCCCUAUGGGUUGUAAACUGCUUUUGUACCAGAGAAAACCCUUCUACGUGUAGAAGGUUGAUAGUAUGGUAAGAAUAAGCAUCGGCUAACUUCGUGCCAGCAGCCGCGGUAAGACGAAGGAUGCAAGCGUUAUCCGGAUUCAUUGGGUUUAAAGGGUGCGUAGGCGGACUGAUAAGUCAGUGGUGAAAUCUCUCGGCUUAACCGAGAAACUGCCAUUGAUACUGUUAGUCUAGAGUAUAGAUGACGUUGGCGGAAUAUGACAUGUAGUGGUGAAAUACUUAGAUAUGUCAUAGAACACCGAUUGCGAAGGCAGCUAACGAAACUAUAACUGACGCUGAGGCACGAAAGUGCGGGGAUCAAACAGGAUUAGAUACCCCGGUAGUCC
rnacentral:rRNA from 1 species